GAUGAACGCUGACAGAACGCUUAACACAUGCAAGUCAACUUGAAUUUGGGUUUUUAACUUAGGUUUGGGUGGCGGACGGGUGAGUAACGCGUAAAGAACUUGCCUCACAGCUAGGGACAACAUUUGGAAACGAAUGCUAAUACCUAAUAUUAUGAUAAUAGGGCAUCCUAUAAUUAUGAAAGCUAUAAGCGCUGUGAGAGAGCUUUGCGUCCCAUUAGCUAGUUGGAGAGGUAACGGCUCACCAAGGCGAUGAUGGGUAGCCGGCCUGAGAGGGUGAUCGGCCACAAGGGGACUGAGACACGGCCCUUACUCCUACGGGAGGCAGCAGUGGGGAAUAUUGGACAAUGGACCAAGAGUCUGAUCCAGCAAUUCUGUGUGCACGAUGAAGUUUUUCGGAAUGUAAAGUGCUUUCAGUUGGGAAGAAAGAAAUGACGGUACCAACAGAAGAAGUGACGGCUAAAUACGUG
rnacentral:rRNA from 1 species